rnacentral:rRNA from 1 species
GUGAGGAAUAUUGGUCAAUGGGCGGGAGCCUGAACCAGCCAAGUCGCGUGAAGGAAGAAGGAUCUAUGGUUCGUAAACUUCUUUUGCAGGGGAAUAAAGUGCAGGACGUGUCCUGUUUUGUAUGUACCCUAAGAAUAAGGAUCGGCUAACUCCGUGCCAGCAGCCGCGGUAAUACGGAGGAUCCGAGCGUUAUCCGGAUUUAUUGGGUUUAAAGGGUGCGUAGGUGGUUUGAUAAGUCAGCGGUGAAAGUUUGCAGCUUAACUGUAAAAAUGCCGUUGAAACUGUCGGACUUGAGUGUAAAUGAGGUAGGCGGAAUGCGUGGUGUAGCGGUGAAAUGCAUAGAUAUCACGCAGAACUCCGAUUGCGAAGGCAGCUUACUAAGCUACAACUGACACUAAAGCACGAAAGCGUGGGGAUCAAACAGGAUUAGAAACCCCAGUAGUCC